GACGAACGCUGGCGGCGUGCUUAACACAUGCAAGUCGAACGGAAAGGCCCUGCUUUUGUGGGGUGCUCGAGUGGCGAACGGGUGAGUAACACGUGAGUAACCUGCCCUUGACUUUGGGAUAACUUCAGGAAACUGGGGCUAAUACCGGAUAGGAGCUCCUGCUGCAUGGUGGGGGUUGGAAAGUUUCGGCGGUUGGGGAUGGACUCGCGGCUUAUCAGCUUGUUGGUGGGGUAGUGGCUUACCAAGGCUUUGACGGGUAGCCGGCCUGAGAGGGUGACCGGCCACAUGGGGACUGAGAUACGGCCCAGACUCCUACGGGGGGCAGCAGUGGGGAAUAUUGCAAAAGGGGCGGAAGCCUGAUGCAGCAACGCCGCGGGCGGGAUGACGGCCUUCGGGUUGUAAACCGUUUUCGCUUGUGACGAAGCGUGAGUGGCGGUAAUGGGUAAAGAAGCACCGGCUAACUACGU
rnacentral:rRNA from 1 species